AGAGUUUGAUCAUGGCUCAGAUUGAACGCUGGCGGCAGGCCUAACACAUGCAAGUCGAACGGAGAUUUCAGCAAUGGAAUCUUAGUGGCGAACGGGUGAGUAACGCGUAGACAACCUACCUUCUAGAUGGGGACAACACUGCGAAAGUGGUGCUAAUACCGAAUGUUGUAGUUGGGAUGCAUAUCCUAAUUACUAAAGGUGGCCUCUAUUUAUAAGCUACCACUAGAAGAUGGGUCUGCGUCUGAUUAGCUAGUUGGUGAGGUAACGGCUCACCAAGGCGACGAUCAGUAGCCGGUCUGAGAGGAUGAACGGCCACACUGGGACUGAGACACGGCCCAGACUCCUACGGGAGGCAGCAGUGGGGAAUCUUCCGCAAUGGACGAAAGUCUGACGGAGCAACGCCGCGUGAGUGAAGAAGGUUUUCGGAUCGUAAAACUCUGUUUUCAGGGACGAAUGUGCAAUAUGUGAAUAAUGUGUUGUAAUGACGGUACCUGACAAGAAAGCCACGGCUAACUACGUGCCAGCAGCCGCGGUAAUACGUAGGUGGCAAGCGUUGUCCGGAAUUAUUGGGCGUAAAGCGCGCGCAGGUGGGAUAUUAAGUCUGAUGUUAAAGUUCGGGGCUCAACCCCGUGAAGCAUUGGAAACUGUUAUUCUUGAGUGCAGGAGAGGAAAGUGGAAUUCCUAGUGUAGCGGUGAAAUGCGUAGAUAUUAGGAGGAACACCAGUGGCGAAGGCGACUUUCUGGACUGUGUCUGACACUGAGGCGCGAAAGCCAGGGUAGUGAACGGGAU
rnacentral:rRNA from 1 species